rnacentral:lncRNA from 1 species
CUGGUCUGGAAGUUUCUCUCCCGGUGGGAAAGGCCUCUCCUGGCGGUGGUGUGAGGGGCUGGUCUGGAAGUUUCUCUCCAGGUGAGAAAGGCCCCUCUUGGCUGUGGUAUGAGGGGCUGGUCUGGAAGUUUCUCUCCAGGUGGGAAAGGCCUCUCCUGGCUGUGGUGUGUGAGAGGCUUGUCCGGAAGUUUCCAGGCGGGAAAGGCCUCUCCUGGCUGUAGUGAGAGGGCUGGUCUGGAAGUUUCUCUCCAGGCUGGAAAGGCUUCUCUUGGCUGUGGUGUGAGGGGCUGGUCUGGAAGUUUCUCUACCGGUGAGAAAGGCCCCUCUUGGCUGUGGUAUGAGGGGCUGGUCUGGAAGUUUCUCUCCAGGUG